GGAGGGGUGGGUGAGUGGUUAAAACCGACAGGCUGUAAACUUGUUGCCGAAAGGCUACGCAGGUUCGAAUCCUGCCCCCUCCACCA
rnacentral:tRNA from 1 species